rnacentral:rRNA from 1 species
GUCUACGGCCAUGCCACCCUGAACAAGCCCGAUCCCGUCUGAUCUCAGAAGCUAAGCAGGAUCGGGCCUGGUUAGUACUUGGAUGGGAGACCACCUAGGAAGACCAGGUGCUGUAGGCA